rnacentral:rRNA from 1 species
GACGAACGCUGGCGGCGUGCUUAACACAUGCAAGUCGAACGGAAAGGCCCUGCUUGCAGGGUACUCGAGUGGCGAACGGGUGAGUAACACGUGGGUGAUCUGCCCUGCACUUCGGGAUAAGCCUGGGAAACUGGGUCUAAUACCGGAUAGGAGCCAUUUUUAGUGUGAUGGUUAGAAAGUUUUUUCGGUGUAGGAUGAGCUCGCGGCCUAUCAGCUUGUUGGUGGGGUAAUGGCCUACCAAGGCGGCGACGGGUAGCCGGCCUGAGAGGGUGGACGGCCACAUUGGGACUGAGAUACGGCCCAGACGCCUACGGGAGGCAGCAGUGGGGAAUAUUGCACAAUGGGCGCAAGCCUGAUGCAGCGACGCCGCGUGGGGGAUGACGGCCUUCGGGUUGUAAACUCCUUUCGCUAGGGACGAAGCUUUUUGUGACGGGACCUAGAUAAGAAGCACCGGCUAACUACG